GGAAGAUCGUCAUCUCCGGUGAGGUGGCUGGACUUCAAAUCCAGUUGGGGACGCCAGCGUUCCCGGGCAGGUUCGACUCCUGUGUUCUUCCGCCA
rnacentral:tRNA from 1 species